rnacentral:rRNA from 1 species
GGAUGAACGCUGGCGGCGUGCCUAAUACAUGCAAGUCGAGCGAACGGACGAGAAGCUUGCUUCUCUGAUGUUAGCGGCGGACGGGUGAGUAACACGUGGAUAACCUACCUAUAAGACUGGGAUAACUUCGGGAAACCGGAGCUAAUACCGGAUAAUAUUUUGAACCGCAUGGUUCAAAAGUGAAAGACGGUCUUGCUGUCACUUAUAGAUGGAUCCGCGCUGCAUUAGCUAGUUGGUAAGGUAACGGCUUACCAAGGCAACGAUGCAUAGCCGACCUGAGAGGGUGAUCGGCCACACUGGAACUGAGACACGGUCCAGACUCCUACGGGAGGCAGCAGUAGGGAAUCUUCCGCAAUGGGCGAAAGCCUGACGGAGCAACGCCGCGUGAGUGAUGAAGGUCUUCGGAUCGUAAAACUCUGUUAUUAGGGAGGAACAUAUGUGUAAGUAACUGUGCACAUCUUGACGGUACCUAAUCAGAAAGCCACGGCUAACUACGUG